rnacentral:rRNA from 1 species
UACGUAGGGGGGCUAGCGUUGUCCGGAAUCAUUGGGCGUAAAGCGCGUGUAGGCGGCCCGGUAAGUCCGCUGUGAAAGUCGGGGGGCUCAACCCUCGGAUGCCGGUGGAUACUGUCGGGCUAGAGUACGGAAGAGGCGAGUGGAAUUCCUGGUGUAGCGGUGAAAUGCGCAGAUAUCAGGAGGAACACCAAUUGCGAAGGCAGCUCGCUGGGACGUUACUGACGCUGAGACGCGAAAGCGUGGGGAGCAAAUGGG